rnacentral:rRNA from 1 species
AGAGGAUAGCGUUUCACUCCCGGUCGAUUCACACCCGCACUCGCGCCGCUCUCCUCACUCCUCUCAUCUUUCCUGCAAACAGAUCUCGCCGCCUCGCGAGCACAUCGCCGGCGCGCAUCCUCACCGCGCAGAGAUAGAUGACAACAGCAAGACCCGAGAUACACUGAAGCUUGUGGCGCUGAAGCUUCAAGGUUUACAAUUGGAUUUGUGGUUAUCUAAUAUGUGAACUCUGGUAUGUGUUGGACUGUAAUAUGGACGUGGCUCUAUAAUAUAUGAACUCUUUAGAUGUACUUGGACUGGAUACUUGAUUUAUGUGCACUCUUUAUUAUCCUGAUGCAUUUCUCUAGCUAUUUUGUACCAUAAACUGCUUAUGUGUAUAAAAAUUGUUGAUAUACUUAUAAAAACAACCAAGAUGCUG